rnacentral:rRNA from 1 species
CACCACAACAGGUGGAGCCUGCGGUUUAAUCGGACUCAACGCCGGGAAACUCACCAGAUAAGACAGCUGAAUGAUAGUCGGGCUGAAGACUCUACUUGACUAGCUGAGAGGAGGUGCAUGGCCGUCGUCAGUUCGUACUGUGAAGCAUCCUGUUAAGUCAGGCAACGAGCGAGACCCACGCCAACAGUUGCCAGCUCGUCCUCCGGGAUGGUGGGGACACUGUUGGGACCGCCUCUGCUAAAGAGGAGGAAGGAAUGGGCAACGGUAGGUCAGCAUGCCCCGAAUCAUCUGGGCUACACGCGGGCUACAAUGGGUGGGACAAUGGGUAUCGACACCGAAAGGUGAAGGCAAUCUCCUAAACCCAUCCGUAGUUCGGAUUGUGGGCUGCAACUCGCCCACAUGAAGCUGGAAUCUGUAGUAAUCGUGUCUCAAAAUGGCACGGUGAAUAUGUCCCUGCUCCUU